CUUUUGUUUUCUGUAUAUAACCUAUCUGUGUGCAACACAAAUAAGCUCACUCUGGUUGUAUAGUUGUACAAAAUGCGUUUUCGCCAUGACAUAGCUUCACAGGUUGUGUUUUUCUCACUCUUGUCCUCUUUGACCCAUAUUUUGGGUGGGUUUCAGCUUCUUUACCAUCUCGUCUUCACAGUUCUCCCUUGUAUCAGCCUCACAUGGGCUGCCGUCCCCUUUUAUCUAGUUGGACUUGCCAGGCAAUUUGACUACGUCUUCUAUGGACGGGCUGUGUGGUGCUGUAUUUCAAGAUUCUUUACGAAAACAAGGACCGGAGAGCAGGGUGUCUUUUACUUUGAAAGUAAAGUAUAUCCGUACGACAUAGAUUGGAUGAAACACAUGAACAACACCAAAUAUCUGUGUGUAGCUAAACUUGCCCGUCUCUCUGCUCUGCUACAAGCUGGGAUCUGGACUACUCCCUAUCGGAUAACAUCUUACAGUACCAGUUACUGCAAGGAGAUCAGACUAUCACAAUCCUUCCUUGUAAAGACACUGUUUCAGAUAGAAGAUUUCAACACCAUGUCAAUCAUCCAAACAUUCUGCGACGAGAAAGAGGACAAAGUUUUCUUCAAACUGAGAUCUGAAGCUUCCACAACGAACACCUCCAUUGUUAACUUGAAGCAUCUUUAUUUUCCCGUUGGCUCUUCAAAAGAAAACUAAAAAUUUGAAAUCUGGACAAUUUAGAAAUUUAGAAUAUAUUAUUUGUGUGACUCGUGUGGGUUGUAAUUGUUUUGUUUGUUUCAUCAGCGGGUGCUGUC